rnacentral:misc_RNA from 1 species
GAUGAAGAACGUAGCGAAAUGCGAUAAGUAAUGUGAAUUGCAGAAUUCCGUGAAUCAUCGAAUCUUUGAACGCACAUUGCGCCCCCUGGCAUUCCGGGGGGCAUGCCUGUCCGAGCGUCAUUUCUGCCCUCCAGCCCGGCUGGGUGUUGGGCGCUGUCCCCCCGGGGACACGCCCCAAAGGCAGUGGCGGCGCCGCGUCGGGUCCUCGAGCGUAUGAGGCUUUGUCACCCGCUCGGGACGGACUCGUCGGCGCUGGUCUUCCUCCAGGCGACCCUUCGGGGCUCGUCUUCCUUCGGUUGACCUCGGAUCAGGUAGGGUUACCCGCUGAACUUAAGCAUAUCAAUAAGCGGAGGA